rfam:Clostridium sp. W14A NODE_10, whole genome shotgun sequence.
GAGAGCCGUGUGCAUCGAGAGGUGCACGCACGGUUCGGGAGGGAGUCGGUACUGCCGGCUUACCUCAU